GACGAACGCUGGCGGCGUGCCUAAUACAUGCAAGUAGAACGCACAGCUUAUACCGUAGCUUGCUACACCAUAGACUGUGAGUUGCGAACGGGUGAGUAACGCGUAGGUAACCUGCCUGGUAGCGGGGGAUAACUAUUGGAAACGAUAGCUAAUACCGCAUAAUAUUGAUUAUUGCAUGAUAAUUGAUUGAAAGAUGCUAUUGCAUCACUACCAGAUGGACCUGCGUUGUAUUAGCUAGUAGGUGAGGUAACGGCUCACCUAGGCGACGAUACAUAGCCGACCUGAGAGGGUGAUCGGCCACACUGGGACUGAGACACGGCCCAGACUCCUACGGGAGGCAGCAGUAGGGAAUCUUCGGCAAUGGACGAAAGUCUGACCGAGCAACGCCGCGUGAGUGAAGAAGGUUUUCGGAUCGUAAAGCUCUGUUGUAAGAGAAGAACGGGUGUGAGAGUGGAAAGUUCACACUGUGACGGUAUCUUACCAGAAAGGGACGGCUAACUACGUGCCAGCAGCCGCGGUAAUACGUAGGUCCCGAGCGUUGUCCGGAUUUAUUGGGCGUAAAGCGAGCGCAGGCGGUUAGAUAAGUCUGAAGUUAAAGGCUGUGGCUUAACCAUAGUACGCUUUGGAAACUGUUUAACUUGAGUGCAGAAGGGGAGAGUGGAAUUCCAUGUGUAGCGGUGAAAUGCGUAGAUAUAUGGAGGAACACCGGUGGCGAAAGCGGCUCUCUGGUCUGUAACUGACGCUGAGGCUCGAAAGCGUGGGGAGCGAACAGGAUUAGAUACCCUGGUAGUCCACGCCGUAAACGAUGAGUGCUAGGUGUUAGGCCCUUUCCGGGGCUUAGUGCCGCAGCUAACGCAUUAAGCACUCCGCCUGGGGAGUACGACCGCAAGGUUGAAACUCAAAGGAAUUGACGGGGGCCCGCACAAGCGGUGGAGCAUGUGGUUUAAUUCGAAGCAACGCGAAGAACCUUACCAGGUCUUGACAUCCCGAUGCCCGCUCUAGAGAUAGAGUUUUACUUCGGUACAUCGGUGACAGGUGGUGCAUGGUUGUCGUCAGCUCGUGUCGUGAGAUGUUGGGUUAAGUCCCGCAACGAGCGCAACCCUUAUUGUUAGUUGCCAUCAUUCAGUUGGGCACUCUAGCGAGACUGCCGGUAAUAAACCGGAGGAAGGUGGGGAUGACGUCAAAUCAUCAUGCCCCUUAUGACCUGGGCUACACACGUGCUACAAUGGCUGGUACAACGAGUCGCAAGUCGGUGACGGCAAGCUAAUCUCUUAAAGCCAGUCUCAGUUCGGAUUGUAGGCUGCAACUCGCCUACAUGAAGUCGGAAUCGCUAGUAAUCGCGGAUCAGCACGCCGCGGUGAAUACGUUCCCGGGCCU
rnacentral:rRNA from 1 species